rnacentral:misc_RNA from 1 species
CCCCUUUAUAACUUCAAUUUUGCUCAGAUGUUACCGUACAUAUAACCAAGAUUAGAAGAUGUGGGUGGGUUCCAAGCAUUUAUAAAUCAAACAAGCUCGUUUCGUGCUUGUAAUAGUGAAGCCUAUUUCUGGCCCAUGAACGAUUCAUAUUAACAAUAAGCAUGGAAAUUAACUCAUAAAUCUAAGGACUGCAGCAACAAGAACAAGCAUUUAGCCCCCAAGAAAAAAAAAAAGAACACUUAAUAAAAUGCCUUUUUCAGAAAUUAUAGACAGCAGAUCACACCAUUCUAAAAAUAUAUAUGUACUACCACCAGUCUCUC